UUGAAGUUUGGAAGUAGAUGG
rnacentral:misc_RNA from 1 species